rnacentral:rRNA from 1 species
AUUGAACGCUAGCGGCAUGCCUUACACAUGCAAGUCGAACGGAGUGGCGGACGGGUGAGUAAUAUAUCGGAACGUGCCUAGUAGCGGGGGAUAACUACUCGAAAGAGUGGCUAAUACCGCAUACCAUCAGAUCGGCCCAUAUCGGAUUAGCUCGUUGGUGGGGUAACGGCUCACCAAGGCAACGAUCCGUAGCUGGUUUGAGAGGACGACCAGCCACACUGGGACUGAGACACGGCCCAGACUCCUACGGGAGGCAGCAGUGGGGAAUUGUGGACAAGGGGGGAACCCCUGAUCCAGCCAUCCCGCGUGUAUGAUGAAGGCCUUCGGGUUGUAAAGUACUUUUGGCAGAGAAGCGGUAUCUGCAGAAUAAGCACCGGCUAACUACGUGCCAGCAGCCGCGGUAAUAC